GCUGAGAUGGCCGAGUUGGUCUAAGGCGCCGCACUCAAGUUGCGGUCUCGUAAGAGGCGGGGGUUCGAAUCCCCCUUUCAGCA